GAUGAACGCUGGCGGCGUGCCUAAUACAUGCAAGUCGAGCGAACGGACGAGAAGCUUGCUUUUCUGAUGUUAGCGGCGGACGGGUGAGUAACACGUGGAUAACCUACCUAUAAGACUGGGAUAACUUCGGGAAACCGGAGCUAAUACCGGAUAAUAUUUUGAACCGCAUGGUUCAAAAGUGUAAGACGGUCUUGCUGUCACUUAUAGAUGGAUCCGCGCUGCAUUAGCUAGUUGGUAAGGUAACGGCUUACCAAGGCAACGAUGCAUAGCCGACCUGAGAGGGUGAUCGGCCACACUGGAACUGAGACACGGUCCAGACGCCUACGGGAGGCAGCAGUAGGGAAUCUUCCGGAAUGGGCGAAAGCCUGACGGAGCAACGCCGCGUGAGUGAUGAAGGUCUUCGGAUCGUAAAACUCUGUUAUUAGGGAAGAACAUAUGUGUAAGUAACUGUGCACAUCUUGACGGUACCUAAUCAGAAAGCCACGGCUAACUACGUG
rnacentral:rRNA from 1 species